rnacentral:rRNA from 1 species
CCUACGGGAGGCAGCAGUGGGGAAUUUUGGACAAUGGGCGCAAGCCUGAUCCAGCCAUGCCGCGUGCGGGAUGAAGGCCUUCGGGUUGUAAACUGCUUUUGUACGGAACGAAAAGACUCUGGUUAAUACCUGGGGUCCAUGACGGUACCGUAAGAAUAAGCACCGGCUAACUACGUGCCAGCAGCCGCGGUAAUACGUAGGGUGCGAGCGUUAAUCGGAAUUACUGGGCGUAAAGCGUGCGCAGGCGGUUAUAUAAGACAGAUGUGAAAUCCCCGGGCUCAACCUGGGAACUGCAUUUGUGACUGUAUAGCUAGAGUACGGCAGAGGGGGAUGGAAUUCCGCGUGUAGCAGUGAAAUGCGUAGAUAUGCGGAGGAACACCGAUGGCGAAGGCAAUCCCCUGGGCCUGUACUGACGCUCAUGCACGAAAGCGUGGGGAGCAAACAGGAUUAGAUACCCUGGUAGUCCACGCCCUAAACGAUGUCAACUGGUUGUUGGGUCUUCACUGACUCAGUAACGAAGCUAACGCGUGAAGUUGACCGCCUGGGGAGUAACGGCCGCAAGGUUGAAACGUUCAAGAAGUUGAGGCGNGAGAGNGCGACGACGACGACGAGGGAGGAGG